rnacentral:rRNA from 1 species
GCAGUCGACGGUAACGGAAACAGCUUGCUGUUUCGCUGACGAGUGGCGGACGGGUGAGUAAUGUCUGGGAAACUGCCUGAUGGAGGGGGAUAACUACUGGAAACGGUAGCUAAUACCGCAUAAUGUCGCAAGACCAAAGAGGGGGACCUUCGGGCCUCUUGCCAUCGGAUGUGCCCAGAUGGGAUUAGCUAGUAGGUGGGGUAACGGCUCACCUAGGCGACGAUCCCUAGCUGGUCUGAGAGGAUGACCAGCCACACUGGAACUGAGACACGGUCCAGACUCCUACGGGAGGCAGCAGUGGGGAAUAUUGCACAAUGGGCGCAAGCCUGAUGCAGCCAUGCCGCGUGUAUGAAGAAGGCCUUCGGGUUGUAAAGUACUUUCAGCGGGGAGGAAGGGAGUAAAGUUAAUACCUUUGCUCAUUGACGUUACCCGCAGAAGAAGCACCGGCUAACUCCGUGCCAGCAGCCGCGGUAAUACGGAGGGUGCAAGCGUUAAUCGGAAUUACUGGGCGUAAAGCGCACGCAGGCGGUUUGUUAAGUCAGAUGUGAAAUCCCCGGGCUCAACCUGGGAACUGCAUCUGAUACUGGCAAGCUUGAGUCUCGUAGAGGGGGGUAGAAUUCCAGGUGUAGCGGUGAAAUGCGUAGAGAUCUGGAGGAAUACCGGUGGCGAAAGCGGCCCCCUGGACGAAGACUGACGCUC